AGCAGAUUUAGUGGGCCAUUCCAUCCAGCGAGUAAAGCUUUACCCGUGACAUUAUCCAAGUGUGGGAACCGCCACAGCGAUCGUUGGGUGAUAUCCGCAGCCAGGACUGCUUCUGUUUUGGUGCAACGACUAAGUCGUAAUGGCCGGCCCUGCCGGUAAAGAGAUAGUCUCAAUCUCGUGGGGAGACCCAUGACAGCUUUUGCAUUAAAUCAGUUAUCGUUUAUUUGAUAAUACCUUACCACUUGGAUAACUGUGGUAAUUCUAGAGCUAAUACAUGCUAAAAACCCCGACUUCGGAAGGGGUGUAUUUAUUAGAUAAAAAACCAAUGCCCUUCGGGGCUCCUUGGUGAUUCAUAAUAACUUAACGAAUCGCAUGGCCUUGCGCCGGCGAUGGUUCAUUCAAAUUUCUGCCCUAUCAACUUUCGAUGGUAGGAUAGUGGCCUACCAUGGUCUUAACGGGUAACGGGGAAUUAGGGUUCGAUUCCGGAGAGGGAGCCUGAGAAACGGCUACCACAUCCAAGGAAGGCAGCAGGCGCGCAAAUUACCCAAUCCCAAUCCGGGGAGGUAGUGACAAUAAAUACUGAUACAGGGCUCUUUCGGGUCUUGUAAUUGGAAUGAGAAAAAUCUAAAUCCCUUAACGAGGAACAAUUGGAGGGCAAGUCUGGUGGAGGAACAAUUGGAGGGCAAGUCUGGUGCCAGCAGCCGCGGUAAUUCCAGCUCCAAUAGCGUAUAUUAAAGUUGUUGCAGUUAAAAAGCUCGUAGUUGAACCUUGGGUCUGGCUGAUCUGUCCUCCUAAUCGAGCGCACGGAUUCGGUCGGACCUUUCCUUCUGGGGAGCCCUAUGCCCUUCACUGGGCGUGGUGGGGAACCAGGAC
rnacentral:rRNA from 1 species